GACGAACGCUGGCGGCGUGCUUAACACAUGCAAGUCGAACGGAAAGGCCCUGCUUGCCGGGUACUCGAGUGGCGAACGGGUGAGUAACACGUGGGUGAUCUGCCCUGCACUUCGGGAUAAGCCUGGGAAACUGGGUCUAAUACCGGAUAGGAGCCAUUUUUAGUGUGAUGGUUGGAAAGUUUUUUCGGUGUAGGAUGAGCUCGCGGCCUAUCAGCUUGUUGGUGGGGUAAUGGCCUACCAAGGCGGCGACGGGUAGCCGGCCUGAGAGGGUGGACGGCCACAGUGGGACUGGGAUACGGCCCAGACUCCUACGGGAGGCAGCAGUGGGGAAUAUUGCACAAUGGGCGCAAGCCUGAUGCAGCGACGCCGCGGGGGGGAUGACGGCCUUCGGGUUGUAAACUCCUUUCGCUAGGGACGAAGCUUUUUGUGACGGUACCUAGAGAAGAAGCACCGGCUAACUACGUG
rnacentral:rRNA from 1 species